CGAGAUUGACCCCGCCUCAUGACUUCCUGAGUCUACAGAGCUCCCUGGUGAAAACAACCCCCUCUCCCAGAGCAGGCCCCAAUCUUCCCUGCUGUUUAUUGUUAUCCCAGAGACCUGCUUGGGGCCACUGAGAGACUAAAGCACUUGACCCGGGAGGAACCAUGUGAACCCAGGUGUCUUCCUGACUCUGAAGCUAAGUCUCUACCCACUAAGGCACACUGCCAGUCAUGGUUUACCUAAAAGCAGGUAUUUGAGUAGCAUUGGUUGAGGAGAAAACCCUUGGCUUACGUCUGUGUACGAAGCAUUGAUGUAGUCUGAGCAUGGAAUUCCAUCCACUUGGCUGAGAAUCACCCUGGAGUGGUCAUCUGGAAGGAAAGAAAGGGGGUGUCAGCAGAAGGGUGCCCCCAAAGCCACAUCGAGCUGGUGUCUGCCCUGCUGCCUCCAGGAGCAGCCUGCAGCCGCAUUGGAAGACCCAUUCAAGUGGGCUGGGCCCCACCCAGCCAUCUCCCUAAAGACGCUUCUCCAUUUCUAGGUGCUGGGCCAGGGUGGCCUGAAUCAGGGAUGGCUCUGUACUCAUCAAGUCCAGAAAAUGAUGCAUUCCCUGGGAGCCACAGGAUACUGGAAGAUUCAGGAGAUCUAAGAUAGAUGGUUUUUCCUCCAAAUUAACCCUGAGCCAGUGAAAACCUCUCGCCCCCAACUCUACAAGGACAUUAGUACCAUGCCCAGGCUGUGGCAGACACUCCGAAUGGGAGAGGAGACCUUGUGGGCCAAUUGCAACACUGCCUCCAAUGGCAGCCGAAGGGUUUUUAUUCUAUUGCGGAAAGUGAAUACUUUUGAAUAUAUUAUUCUUAUACGGAUUGAUAGUUUCCUGUAUCCCUCACUCCCCUGCAAGGUGAUUGCUGGGGUCAGCCCUCUGCUGGCGGCCCCUUGUGAGACUUCACAGAGGGCCUCUCCUUGAGCCCAGGCAGGCCCUGGAGCAGUUCCAUCUUACCAGCAGAGUGAGAUUUUUAUUCUAUUGCGGAAAGUGAAUACUUUUGAAUAUAUUAUUCUAAUACGGAUUGAUAGUUUCCUGUAUCCCUCACUCCCCUGCAAGGUGAUUGCUGGGGUCAGCCCUCUGCUGGCGGCCCCUUGUGAGACUUCACAGAGGGCCUCUCCUUGAGCCCAG
rnacentral:lncRNA from 1 species